rnacentral:rRNA from 1 species
AGUCGAACGGCAGCACGGGCUUCGGCCUGGUGGCGAGUGGCGAACGGGUGAGUAAUACAUCGGAACGUGCCCUGUAGUGGGGGAUAACUAGUCGAAAGAUUAGCUAAUACCGCAUACGACCUGAGGGUGAAAGCGGGGGACCGCAAGGCCUCGCGCUACAGGAGCGGCCGAUGUCUGAUUAGCUAGUUGGUGGGGUAAAAGCCUACCAAGGCGACGAUCAGUAGCUGGUCUGAGAGGACGAUCAGCCACACUGGGACUGAGACACGGCCCAGACUCCUACGGGAGGCAGCAGUGGGGAAUUUUGGACAAUGGGGGCAACCCUGAUCCAGCAAUGCCGCGUGUGUGAAGAAGGCCUUCGGGUUGUAAAGCACUUUUGUCCGGAAAGAAAUGGCUCUGGUUAAUACCCGGGGUCGAUGACGGUACCGGAAGAAUAAGCACCGGCUAACUACGUGCCAGCAGCCGCGGUAAUACGUAGGGUGCGAGCGUUAAUCGGAAUUACUGGGCGUAAAGCGUGCGCAGGCGGUUUUGUAAGACAGGCGUGAAAUCCCCGAGCUCAACUUGGGAAUGGCGCUUGUGACUGCAAGGCUAGAGUAUGUCAGAGGGGGGUAGAAUUCCACGUGUAGCAGUGAAAUGCGUAGAGAUGUGGAGGAAUACCGAUGGCGAAGGCAGCCCCCUGGGACGUCACUGACGCUCAUGCACGAAAGCGUGGGGAGCAAACAGGAUUAGAUACCCUGGUAGUCCACGCCCUAAACGAUGUCAACUAGUUGUUGGGGAUUCAUUUCUUCAGUAACGUAGCUAACGCGUGAAGUUGACCGCCUGGGGAGUACGGUCGCAAGAUUAAAACUCAAAGGAAUUGACGGGGACCCGCACAAGCGGUGGAUGAUGUGGAUUAAUUCGAUGCAACGCGAAAACCUUACCUACCCUUGA